rnacentral:rRNA from 1 species
GUAGGGUGCAAGCGUUAAUCGGAAUUACUGGGCGUAAAGCGUGCGCAGGCGGUUUUGUAAGUCUGUCGUGAAAUCCCCGGGCUCAACCUGGGAAUUGCGAUGGAGACUGCAAGGCUAGAAUCUGGCAGAGGGGGGUAGAAUUCCACGUGUAGCAGUGAAAUGCGUAGAGAUGUGGAGGAACACCGAUGGCGAAGGCAGCCCCCUGGGUCAAGAUUGACGCUCAUACACGAAAGCGUGGGGAGCAAACAGGAUUAGAUACCCUGGUAGUCCACGCCCUAAACGAUGUCUACUAGUUGUCGGGUCUUAAUUGACUUGGUAACGCAGCUAACGCGUGAAGUAGACCGCCUGGGGAGUACGGUCGCAAGAUUA